CGUGGCGUCGCCACUGGCUUCCUCGCUCUCACCGCCUUCACUCUCGGUUCCUCCGACGGCCCCUCCCUCCCCACAAAUGUCGCCAUUUCGAUAUGCGAUCCGUUUCGGCAAUUUCUGUCUUCGACUUCGUCGAUUUUCUCGCAAGAUUUCACGCUUCCAUUCUCAGUCUUUUCUCCAGAGUUUUUUGCACGGCAUUUUCCAACCGCGUGCCCUCUUCCACCUCUGGAUUCAAGUAAGG